rnacentral:lncRNA from 1 species
GCGGGAAAUACAAAUAUAAGAUUUUUGGUAGGAACGAAAAAAUAAAAUAAAAUAAAAUCUUGCUGGUAAAUACAAAUAAAAGAUUUUCAGGCGGAACGAAUUGAUAGGGUCGGUCGGUAAAGGGCAAACAAACAAUAUUUUAAUUUAAGCCUCAAUGCAGACAAGAUCAUUAACUGAUGCUCAUUAGCUAUAGUAGAUACAUUUGUCUUUUAAAAUACAACUGACAUAUAAGGAUCAUAAUGGUGCUAUGUGGAUAAAUUUAUCGGUUUUCAGGAGCAAAAUUGGCAGCGCGUCAUCCCUACAAUUGCUUCCAUUUCUACGAUUGUGAAAAUGAACUGCCUGGCGUAAUGGGGAGAUAAUUUUGACGAAGUAGAAUCCUGACUGUAUGAAUAACAUUUCUGUAUAUAUACAAAUUGACAACGUUCCCCCUUGUGAUACGCCAUUCGUACAAGACUAUUUUAAGGAUCUACUUUGCUGGAGCUCACCAUCACUAGUUUAGUCGUAUGAUAUUUUCAAAAUAUUUUCUGUUAUUUUAUUUGCACGACAAAAUGGAAGACGAUAUA